GGAGGUCGACGACCGGCGCACGGGUGAGUAACGCGUAUGCAACCUACCUUUUACAGGAGGAUAGCCCAGAGAAAUUUGGAUUAAUACUCCAUAGUACUAAUGAAUCACCUGGUUUAUUAGUUAAAACUCCGGUGGUAAAAGAUGGGCAUGCGUGUCAUUAGCUAGUUGGUAAGGUAACGGCUUACCAAGGCGAAGAUGACUAGGGGUUCUGAGAGGAAGAUCCCCCACACUGGUACUGAGACACGGACCAGACUCCUACGGGAGGCAGCAGUGAGGAAUAUUGGUCAAUGGGUGAGAGCCUGAACCAGCCAUGCCGCGUGAAGGAAGACUGCCCUAUGGGUUGUAAACUUCUUUUCUGCAGGAAGAAAUCACUCUACGUGUAGGGUGUUGCCGGUACUGCAGGAAUAAGCAUCGGCUAACUCCGUGCCAGCAGCCGCGGUAAUACGGAGGAUGCAAGCGUUAUCCGGAUUUAUUGGGUUUAAAGGGUGCGUAGGCGGGCUUGGUAAGUCAGUGGUGAAAUGCUGUGGCUUAACCAUAGAAUUGCCAUUGAAACUGCAAGUCUUGAGUACAGUUGAGGUGGGCGGAAUGAGUAAUGUAGCGGUGAAAUGCAUAGAUAUUACUCAGAACUCCGAUUGCGUAGGCAGCUUGCUAAACUGUAACUGACGCUGAUGCACGAAAGCGUGGGGAGCGAACAGGAUUAGAUACCCUGGUAGUCCACGCUGUAAACGAUGAGCACUGGUUGUUGGCAAUACACCGUCAGCGACUGAGCGAAAGUAUUAAGUGCUCCACCUGGGGAGUACGUCGGCAACGAUGAAACUCAAAGGAAUUGACGGGGGCCCGCACAAGCGGAGGAACAUGUGGUUUAAUUCGAUGAUACGCGAGGAACCUUACCUGGGCUUAAAUGUAGAGUGCAUUGCUUGGAAACAGGCAUUUUCUUCGGAACUCUUUACAAGGUGCUGCAUGGUUGUCGUCAGCUCGUGCCGUGAGGUGUCGGGUUAAGUCCCAUAACGAGCGCAACCCCUAUUGUUAGUUACCAGCACGUAAUGGUGGGGACUCUAGCAAGACUGCCGGUGUAAACCGUGAGGAAGGUGGGGAUGACGUCAAAUCAGCACGGCCCUUAUGUCCAGGGCUACACACGUGUUACAAUGGCAAGUACCAAAGAGCAGCCACCUGACGACAGGGCGGUAAUCUCAAAAGCUUGCCUCAGUUCGGAUCGAAGUCUGCAACUCGACUUCGUGAAGGUGGAUUCGCUAGUAAUCGCGCAUCACCCAUGGCGCGGUGAUACGUUCCCGGGCCUU
rnacentral:rRNA from 1 species